rnacentral:rRNA from 1 species
GACGAACCGUGCGAACGUUGUUCGGAAUCACUGGGCAUAAAGGGCGCGUAGGCGGCUUAUCAAGUCAGGGGUGAAAUCCGGCAGCUCAACUGUCGAAGUGCCUUUGAUACUGAUGAGCUCGAGGGAGAUAGGGGUGUGUGGAACUUCCGGUGGAGCGGUGAAAUGCGUUGAUAUCGGAAGGAACGCCGGUGGCGAAAGCGACACACUGGAUCUCUUCUGACGCUGAGGCGCGAAAGCCAGGGGAGCAAACGGG